GAUGAACGCUAGCGGAAGGCCUAAUACAUGCAAGUCGAACGGAAAUAUGUUUUCGGAUAUAAUUUAGUGGCGCACGGGUGAGUAACGCGUACACAACCUACCUUAUAUUGGGGGAUAGCCCUGGGAAACUGGGAGUAAUACCGCAUAACACUGCGAUUCGGCAUCGGAUUGUUGUUAAAGCUACGGCGAUAUAAGAUGGGUGUGCGUCUGAUUAGGUAGUUGGUAGGGUAACGGCCACCAAGCCGACGAUCAGUAGGGGGUGUGAGAGCAUCGG
rnacentral:rRNA from 1 species